CGCACAUUGCGCCCUUUGGUAUUCCGAAGGGCAUGCCUGUUCGAGCGUCAUUAUCACCCCUCAAGCCCCGGGCUUGGUGUUGGACGGCCGGUCGAGCGAUCGACCCCUCCGAAAGACAAUGACGGCGGCCUGCGGUUCCCCCGGCACACUGAGCUUCUCACCGAGCACGUGUCGGACGAGGGCACCCGGGACCCGGUCCCCUCCUUGCCCACGCAAGGAAACUUCUUAUGGUUGACCUCGGAUCAGGUAGGAAUACGCGCUGAACUUAA
rnacentral:misc_RNA from 1 species